CCUACGGGAGGCAGCAGUAGGGAAUCUUCCACAAUGGGCGAAAGCCUGAUGGAGCAACGCCGCGUGGGUGAAGAAGGUCUUCGGAUCGUAAAACUCUGUUGUUAGAGAAGAAAGUGCGUGAGAGUAACUGUUCACGUUUCGACGGUAUCUAACCAGAAAGCCACGGCUAACUACGUGCCAGCAGCCGCGGUAAUACGUAGGUGGCAAGCGUUAUCCGGAUUUAUUGGGCGUAAAGGGAACGCAGGCGGUCUUUUAAGUCUGAUGUGAAAGCCUUCGGCUUAACCGGAGUAGUGCAUUGGAAACUGGGAGACUUGAGUGCAGAAGAGGAGAGUGGAACUCCAUGUGUAGCGGUGAAAUGUGUAGAUAUAUGGAAGAACACCAGUGGCGAAAGCGGCUCUCUGGUCUGUAACUGACGCUGAGGUUCGAAAGCGUGGGUAGCAAACAGGAUUAGAUACCCGAGUAGUC
rnacentral:rRNA from 1 species